CUAAUUCCACCAUUUUUCAUUGUUAAAGGAAAACACAGUUGGUCUGACUGGCUUUUAAACGCACUAGAAGGAUCAAGAAUGGCAACUUCUUGCAGUGGCUGGAUGGAAAUUCAAAUAUUUGAAGAGUGGCUGUUAAAUCACUUUGUUCCAAAUAUUAUAAAUAAGGAAGAUGUUGGAUAUUUCUCGAGUUUAAAAGCUGAUUGGAGGUCAGUUCUUAAUCAAUGGCGUAAAACAUCCAGAGGAAAAAAGGUUAAUAACCUGCCAAAAAAUUUUGUUUACGCAGCUCAUUAAAUCUACUCUUAAUGUUGGGAAAGAAAAUCUAGAACAUAAUCUCCAAGCAGGAUUUAAGGCUACUGGCAUAUAUCCAUUUGUACCAGAACAUGUUCUCUCCAAAUUACCCAGUUUUACAAAUAUAGAUAUUCAACUCAAUAUUGGAGAAUCGUUUAGGAAUUAUGUUGAUGAUAUUCAUCUUAAUUAUGAAGUAAGCAAAAAAUAUAAGUUACCAAUAACAGCAGGGAAAAGUGUAUCAGCCACUGAGGUAGAAGCAUACUAUAAGGAAAGAGACAAUAAAAAAAAAAGUCAAGAUAAUAUUUGAGCAAAGAAAAGAGGAAGACCAGUUGGAUCAAAUAAUAUGGUUAUGAAAAUAAACAAAAAACUUAAUAUUUUACAAAGUUCAAGCAUCGUAAAUGUUAAUCAAGUUAUUGUAGACAAUGAACAAGUUUUACCUGUAUCUCAAAAUGAUGCAGUUUUUUCAUUGGAGCAAGUAAACAAUCACUAUGUACAUGUUUUCCUUGAUCAUGAUUAUUUUGU
rnacentral:lncRNA from 1 species